rnacentral:rRNA from 1 species
UUAAAUGAAUUGACGGGGCCCGCACAAGCGGAGGAACAUGUGGUUAAUUCGAUGAUACGCGAGGAACCUUACCUGGGCUUAAAUGGGGAGUGACAGCUGUCGAAAGAUGGUUUUCUUCGGACACUCUUCAAGGUGCUGCAUGGUUGUCGUCAGCUCGUGCCGUGAGGUGUCGGGUUAAGUCCCAUAACGAGCGCAACCCUUACCGUUAGUUACCAUCAGGUUAAGCUGGGGACUCUAGCGGGACUGCCACCGUAAGGUGAGAGGAAGGUGGGGAUGACGUCAAAUCAGCACGGCCCUUAUGUCCAGGGCUACACACGUGUUACAAUGGCCAGUACAAAGGGCAGCUACCGGGUGACCGGAUGCUAAUCUCUAAAGCUGGUCUCAGUUCGGAUCGAAGUCUGCAACCCGACUUCGUGAAGCUGGAUUCGCUAGUAAUCGCGCAUCAGCCAUGGCGCGGUGAAUACGUUCCCGGGCCUU